rnacentral:rRNA from 1 species
UUUACGGAGAGUUUGAUCCUGGCUCAGGAUGAACGCUGGCGGCGUGCUUAACACAUGCAAGUCGAACGGUGAAGGAGGAGCUUGCUCUUCUGGAUCAGUGGCGAACGGGUGAGUAACACGUGAGUAACCUGCCCUUGACUCUGGGAUAAGCGUUGGAAACGACGUCUAAUACCGGAUACGAGCUUCAGCCGCAUGGCUAGGAGUUGGAAAGAAUUUUGGUCAAGGAUGGACUCGCGGCCUAUCAGGUUGUUGGUGAGGUAACGGCUCACCAAGCCUACGACGGGUAGCCGGCCUGAGAGGGUGACCGGCCACACUGG